CAUCUUGGGCACCCUCUCUUGCUCUCUGAAGAAAACCCAGCAGCCAUGUCGUGAGGUGCUUUACGGAGAGGCCCGUGUGUUACAGACAGACAUGUCUCCAGCACACAGCCAGUGAGCACCAGAGACAUCCUCCAAUAUCACAUUAGUGACCUUGGAAGGAGACCAUCCCACAGCUGAGCUGUCCCAACUGACACAGUGACUGAAGCCCUGUGAGAGAUCCUGAGCAAGAGGCGCCCAGCUAAUCCAUGCCUGUUUUCCUGAUCCCUAGAAAUUGUAUCUGAUAAUUCAAAAAAACGUCGUCUGUAUAAUGAGGAAAUACUGGACUGGCUUUACAUUUCUUCACAUUAAUAUUCAAUAUCAGAAGAUACUGGUGAAAGUUUUGUUCCCAGACUCCGAGGGAAAAAACACUGCGGGAUAUGAACAACCUUAAAACACCUCAACAUGCAUACCAAUAAUAAGGCAAGUUGCAAACCUCUCUGAGCUUUUGGACCCAUUUCACACGACUGUGGAAGCACGUGAACCAGUUCACCUAUCGGUCCUGGCCCGUGGGUGAGGAACUAUCACAGUCCAAAACAGGUCUAAAACUCUGCAGAUAGUGGCCUGGAGUCUUUUUCUUUAAUGUGGCCCCACCCACCCCCAGUUUCUACACGUUUGCCGAGACUGACGCUGAAUAAGCUCCGCCCCCUGGCUCUCCGCGCCUGGGGCCAAAGACUUCCGGCGCUGAGACCCUCAGUAAAACCCGGAGAAGCGGAUUUUGAGCAGCGCACACGCCAACCACGGAACUACGCAUGCUCCGUCUCCAAGCCCGGAGCGCAGGUUGCCAGGACUAACUGCGGCGGCUGCGUGCGGCGCGGCCUCUGGGGCUAGCUGGUGGCGGCGGCCUAGAGAGGCGCAGCGGCUGGUGGGCAGGUGCCCUAAUGCUGGAGUACUAUGAGCUUUCAGAACUUCUGGAGAGACUACAAAGUUCUGGUUGUUAUGGUACCUUUAAUCGGGCUCAUACAUUUGGGAUGGCACAGAAUCAAAAGCAGCCCUGUUUUCCAAAUGCCUGAUAAGGACAACGUUUCUGAGCCAGAUAGUCCCGCGCUUGUAAGUCCUCAGAGGAGCCACAUCCACGGGAAAUAGCAGGCUUAGAAUCUUCAGAAAGAAGCAUCUUUGAAUCUGAGCUUGAUAUUGAAAGAAGAGAUGAAAAACACCAGCUGGAUUAGAAAGAACUGGCUUCUUGUAGCUGGGGUGUCUUUCAUAGGUGUCCAUCUUGGAACAUACUUCAUACAGAGGGCCGCAAAACAAUCUGUAAAAUCUCAAUCUAGAGGCAGACAAAUGAGUACUGAAGAAUGAAGUAAAAUAAAUAUUUGGAAUUACUACUA